rnacentral:rRNA from 1 species
GCAUGCGAGUCGAGCGAGAACCCGCAAGGGGGACAGCGGCAAACGGGGUAGGAAUGGUCGGUAACGUACCCUUCGGACGGGGAUAGCCACGGGAAACUGUGGGUAAUACUCGAUAAACUCCUUGAACGUAACGGUUUAGGGAGCAAAGGUGAGAUUCCACCGGAGGAGCGGCUGACUUAGUAUUAGCUAGUUGGUGAGGUAAAAGCUUACCAAGGCAUCGAUGCUUAGGGGGUGUGAGAGCAUGGCCCCCACCACUGGGACUGAGAUACUGCCCAGACACCUACGGGUGGCUGCAGUCGAGAAUCUUCGGCAAUGGGCGAAAGCCUGACCGAGCGACGCCGCGUGUGGGAUGAAGGCCCUUGGGUUGUAAACCACUGUCAGGGGGGAUGAAAUGCGCGGGGGUACUCCCCUGCGUUUGACGGAGCCCCAGAGGAAGCACGGGCUAAGUUCGUGCCAGCAGCCGCGGUAAUACGAACUGUGCAAACGUUAUUCGGAAUCACUGGGCUUAAAGGGUGCGUAGGCGGCUUAUUAAGCAGGGUGUGAAAUCCCCCGGCUCAACCGGGGAAUAGCGCUCUGAACUGAUGAGCUUGAGUGAGGCAGGGGUGCGCGGAACUUCUNGUGGAGCGGUGAAAUGUGUUGAUAUUGGAAGGAACNCCGGAGGCGAAAGCGGCGCACUGGGUCUUGUCUGACGCUGAGGCACGAAAGCCAGGGGAGCAAACGGGAUUAGAUACCCCCGGUAGUCCUGGCCGUAAACGAUGAGUACUAGUGGGGGAGGUCUGCGAGGGCUUUCUCACGGAGCGAAAGUUUUAAGUACUC